UACGUAGGGUGCGAGCGUUAAUCGGAAUUACUGGGCGUAAAGCGUGCGCAGGCGGUUCGCUGCGUCGGUGGUGAAAGCCCCGGGCUUAACCUGGGAAUGGCCAUGGAAACUGGCGAGCUGGAGUGUGGCAGAGGGGGGUGGAAUUCCGCGUGUAGCAGUGAAAUGCGUAGAGAUGCGGAGGAACACCGAUGGCGAAGGCAGCCCCCUGGGCUAGCACUGACGCUCAGGCACGAAAGCGUGGGGAGCAAACAGG
rnacentral:rRNA from 1 species